CCGCGCGCCCCGACCCCGACGCGCGCCUCGCGCUGCCGCUCUACAGGCAGCCAUACCUGCUCAGACAGAUGUCGCCAGGAACAUGGUGUCGCCGUUCUCCAGCGCCCGUGCAACAUCCAGUUUUAAACCACCCGCGGCGCCAGCACCCCGACACUCGCAACCAGCGCCGUUAGACACACAAACAGACAAACAAACAAGCAAUAACACACAACACAGUCAUGUACAUACUGAUACAUACGGGCGGAUAGAGAUGUAGCUAAACAAGAAUAUUAAUAACUAGCUGUUGCCCGCGACUUCGUCCGCGUGGUUGGAAGAUAUAAGUUAUGACACCUUAGGUUACAACAGCGCAAUUUUCUUGCGGAACCCUAAUAUUUUUUAAAUAAAUUAUAGCCUAUGUUCAGCGGAGAUAAUGUAGCUUCUCAACAGUGAAAGA